rnacentral:rRNA from 1 species
GACGUAGGGCGCGAGCGUUUGUCCGGAUUUGAUUAGGGCGUGAAGAGCUCGUAGGCGGCUUGUCGCGUCGACCGUGAAAACCCGUGGCUCAACUACGGGCUGGCCGGUCGAUACGGGCGAGGCUGGAGUUCGUAGGGGAGCUGGAAUUCCGGUGUAGCGGUGAAAUGCGCAGAUAGUCGGGAGGAACACCAGCGGCGAAGGCGGACACUCUGGGCUGGAACUGACGCGUGAGGAGGCGAAAGCG